rnacentral:tRNA from 1 species
GGGGAUUUAGCUCAGCGGUAGAGCGCUUGCCUAGCACGUGCAAGACCCUGGGUUCGGUCCCCAGCUCCG